GACCGCUUGGCGCAAAUGGUAGCGCGUUCUACUCCAGAUCGAAAGAGUUGGGGCGUUCAAUCCGCUCAGCGGUCA